GUAGGUGAACCUGCGGAAGGAUCAUUCACACAUGCCAAGUGCAUAAUCCAAGUCUUGAACUUAGAUUGUGUUAUGGUAGGUUUACCUACCAGAUUAUUUUAAUUAUGUAUGUUCUUACAUUCAGUAUGUCCAUAAUAAAAAAAAGAAAAUUUUCAACGAUGGAUAUCUGGGUUCCCAUACCGAUGAAGAACGCAGCGAACUGCGAUAAGCAAUGCGAAUAGCAGAAUUCCGCGAGACAUCAGAUUUUCGAACGCAACUGGCGCUAGUUUACUAGCAUGUUUGUUUCAGUGUGUUUGGAGAGCACAUCUCAUCAACAUAGAUUAAUGCGAUUGAGGUUUUACUUCUUUCGUUAAAUAAGAAGUGUGAGGUCUUGAAAGCCUCCAAAACGAAGUAGUCACAUUGAAUGUGAUCUCGUUUUGGAAUAAAGGCGAUCAUAUUAUGGCAAUACACUACUAAAUUUAAAUCUCCUAUGUCAACACCUGAAAUCAAGCAAGAUAACCCGCUGAACUUAAGCAUAUCAGUA
rnacentral:rRNA from 1 species